CUGAAGCAAAGACUCAUUUUGAAGAUGUUUAAUAAGUCAUUUGGAACACCCUUUGGGGGUGGCACUGGUGGCUUUGGCACAACUUCAACAUUUGGGCAGAACACUGGCUUUGGCACUACUAGUGGAGGAGCAUUUGGAACAUCUGCAUUUGGUUCUAGCAACAAUACUGGAGGCCUGUUUGGAAAUUCACAGACCAAACCAGGAGGAUUAUUUGGUACUAAUUCAUUUAGUCAGCCAGCUACUUCCACAAGCACUGGCUUUGGGUUUGGCACAUCAACAGGAACAUCAAAUAGCUUGUUUGGAACUGCAAGUACAGGGACCAGUCUCUUCUCAUCCCAAAACAAUGCCUUUGCGCAAAAUAAACCAACUGGCU